AUUGAACGCUGGCGGCAGGCCUAACACAUGCAAGUCGAGCGGAUGAAGGGAGCUUGCUCCUGGAUUCAGCGGCGGACGGGUGAGUAAUGCCUAGGAAUCUGCCUGGUAGUGGGGGAUAACGUCCGGGAACGGGCGCUAAUACCGCAUACGUCCUGAGGGAGAAAGUGGGGGAUCUUCGGACCUCACGCUAUCAGAUGAGCCUAGGUCGGAUUAGCUAGUUGGUGGGGUAAAGGCCUACCAAGGCGACGAUCCGUAACUGGUCUGAGAGGAUGAUCAGUCACACUGGAACUGAGACACGGUCCAGACUCCUACGGGAGGCAGCAGUGGGGAAUAUUGGACAAUGGGCGAAAGCCUGAUCCAGCCAUGCCGCGUGUGUGAAGAAGGUCUUCGGAUUGUAAAGCACUUUAAGUUGGGAGGAAGAGCAGUAAGUUAAUACCUUGCUGUUUUGACGUUACCAACAGAAUAAGCACCGGCUAACUUCGUG
rnacentral:rRNA from 1 species